UAAUACAUGCAAGUUGAACGGGAUUAGUUGUAGCAAUACGACUAUGAGAGUAGCGCACGGGUGCGUAACGCGUAUGCAACCUGCCUCCAACCGGGGAAUAGCCCCUCGAAAGAGGGAUUAAUACCGCAUAAAAUAGUGGAUAGGCAUCUAUCUACUAUUAAAACUACGGUGGUUGGAGAUGGGCAUGCGUGACAUUAGCUAGUUGGUAGGGUAAUGGCCUACCAAGGCUACGAUGUCUAGGGGGUCUGAGAGGAUGUCCCCCCACACUGGUACUGAGAUACGGACCAGACUCCUACGGGAGGCAGCAGUAGGGAAUAUUGGUCAAUGGGCGCAAGCCUGAACCAGCCAUGCCGCGUGCAGGAUGACGGCCCUAUGGGUUGUAAACUGCUUUUGUACGGGAAGAAACCCCACUACGUGUAGUGGGUUGACGGUACUGUAAGAAUAAGGAUCGGCUAACUUCGUGCCAGCAGCCGCGGUAAUACGAAGGAUCCAAGCGUUGUCCGGAUUUACUGGGUUUAAAGGGUGCGUAGGCGGACUUUUAAGUCAGUGGUGAAAGCCUGCAGCUUAACUGUAGAAUUGCCAUUGAAACUGAUUGUCUCGAGUGUGGUUGAGGUCACUGGAAUAUAUCAUGUAGCGGUGAAAUGCUUAGAUAUGAUAUAGAACACC
rnacentral:rRNA from 1 species